GAUGAAGAACGUAGCGAAAUGCGAUAAGUAAUGUGAAUUGCAGAAUUCAGUGAAUCAUCGAAUCUUUGAACGCACAUUGCGCCCGCCAGUAUUCUGGCGGGCAUGCCUGUUCGAGCGUCAUUUCAACCCUCAAGCACCUUCGGGAGCUUGGUGUUGGGGAUCGGCAGGGCGUCCUCCGGGUCGCGCCGUCCCCCAAAUCUAGUGGCGGUCUCGCUGUAGCUUCCUCUGCGUAGUAAUACACCUCGCUCUGGAGUCUCGGUGCGGCCACGCCGUAAAACCCCCAACUUUUUUCUGGUUGAACUCGAAUCAGGUAGGACUACCCGCUGAACUUAAGCAUAUCAAUAAGCGGAGGA
rnacentral:misc_RNA from 1 species